rnacentral:rRNA from 1 species
CACACCGCCCGUCACAUCACGAAAGCCAGUUGUACUAGAAGCCGGUGACUUAAUCGCAAGGGAAUAGCCGUCCAAGGUAUGACUGGUGAUUGGGGUG